UAUCCCUGUCUCGCUCUAUAAAGGAGAGCCUCACGUCCGCUCCGGAGGGGGCUUCCUAUCCUCUCUCUCUCUCUCUCUGUUUUUCUUUCUCAAAGACGAGGAGAAGAUUAAGAAUAGACUAAGAAGAAGAGGAGGAGAAAGUGAGCGAAGAUGUACGCGCCACCGAGCUCGCAGGAGAUGUCGUACUUCGAGCACAUCCAGAGGCGCCACGAGGAGAAGGGCUGCAUCUAUGCCCUCUUAUUUGCACUGUGCUGCUGCUUCUGCUGCUAUGAGACCUGCGAGUGCUGCCUAGACUGCCUCUGCUGCUGCUGCCAGUAACCAUGUAGUAGUAGUAGGAACAAAGCAAAAAAACUUACAACGGAAUGCCCUCCAUCUCUUUUGUAUUUGGAGCUUAACGCAUUCCGUCUAAAAUAAAAUAUGCAGUUAUGAUGUUGAUGUACCAUUACGUGGGGUAUUGUUUUGUGUAACUUCAUGAAUGUUGUGAACACUUCUCCUCGCAUUUAAUGCUUGGACUCAUAAUCUAUUAGUGUGUAUUUUCAAUUCCUUUACU